CCCAGUUGGAGCUUCCCGGCUGCUUUGUUUACCUAAGCAAGCCUGGGCAAUGGUGGGCGCCCCUCCCCCAGCCUCGCAGCCGCCUUGCAGUUUGAUCUCAGACUGCUGUGCUAGCCAUCAGCGAGACUCCGUGGGCGUAGGACCCUCCGAGCCAGGUGUGGGAUAUAGUCUCGUGGUGCGCCGGUUUUUAAGCUGGUCUGAAAAGCGCAAUAUUCAGGUGGGAGUGACCCGAUUUUCCAGUCUUUUUCUGGAGGAAGAGCAAUCAAGUUUGUGGCCACAGAGAUGCUGGUGGGAUGGACAUGGUUCUGGAUCUGAGCUCUAAUCACAAUUGCAGCAGCUGCACCCAGAGGACCAGUGCUGGAUCCCCACUCUGGGGAAGGCAAUGGCUGUGCACCCUGGAGCUCAUGUUCACUGGGGAUCUGCAGGUGGAGCUGGAGGUAUGUCCACAGCCCGCAGUUUUCUAACAUCUGCUGCCCCUUGUUCCCAAACUACUUCUUGCUGGAGGCUCACGAAGCACUGUGUCUUUCUCUUGGCAUCUCCCCAUUUCCUGACCAAGUUUAGAAUGAGCUUCUCAUAAAGACUCCAAGAAAAAACCCACACUGAAAUGAGAAUGGCCAUGGCUUCACAAUUUCUCUAUGGUCUCGAGAGAUGAUUCCCUCCAGGCAACACAUUUUAAUUUUAGCAGAGGCCUUUUGCGACUUAAGAGUAUCAUUGCAAAUAUGAAAGGAGAUUUUUUUUGAUAGAUUGGUUAGCUCUUUAGUUCC
rnacentral:lncRNA from 10 species